rnacentral:lncRNA from 13 species
AUGAAGAGGAUAACUAUAGUCUGCGCGACGAAGAUAUCCCCUGCCCAUGUCGUUUCCUCGAAGAAGCCCCGCAAUCAUGGCAUUUUGAAAGUCUCUUCUGCUGCCUCUGUCACAAAGAAACAGAGCAAAUCCCAGUCAACAACAAUGCCCCCUUAUUGGUGGAAGAAAAUGGGACCAUUUCAAAGUAAGCUGUCUUCGUCCUUACAUCUCUCUCUCCCUCUUGCCCUUGCUUGUGAUAUCACAUAUCUCUCCCUCACUCUCUCUAUGGUCAUUUAAGCAUCUUGUGGUCAACAUGAUUGAGAGCCACUUGAUCAGUACACAUGUUUUCUUUGCACAAUGUCCUUUCAUGUUCUCUGGUCAAUACAUUUUUGCAGUUCUGCCUUAAAAGUAAAUAUUUUACUGCCUAUAAAUCAAAAAAGAUAUACAAUUAAAUCAGCACAGACUGUAACGCAUUAUCAGAACACAGUCAUUCUUUGUCUGUGUUAAGGUGAAUCACUUUACAGCAGGGAUGGGUAACUUUGAUGGGGGUGGGAGAUCAAAAAUUGUUAAAUAUUUUUGCGGCCCCCUUCUUGACGGUGGAGAGAAAAAUUCCCAUUUUUAGAGUUGAUUUCCUGGGUCUCACUUUAUUUGGAAAGUCUGGAUUGGAUAGUCCGGAUUUUUCCAUAUGUAGAUGUAGAUCAUCAUACUACCAACAAACUAUAUGUUGAUAAGCAACUGCUUGCUAAGGUUACAGGGAUAGGGUUAGGUUUAAAACAGGGAUGGGCAACUGCAAGGCCCUCGGAUCAAUCCCCCCCCUAAAAAAGAUACAUUUUUGAAUUUAGUCGGGGUCUCAACUUCCUGUUUCAAAUUAGAAUAGUAGAACACACAAGGUACAAUUUGGAAAUUUGGUUGUGCAUCAGCAGUUUAUUUCUUGUUACUCAAUUAGCCCAUGUCAACAUUUUGAUUGGUAAGUUAGUCUAGUUGAUUGGUAAGUUAGCCAGUAAUCUAAACUUGUAGUGGUCGAAUUACCACCUGGCGGGCCCUCAUUGAUUUUGUUUGUCAGUCUCACUCAGAUAUCAUAUUAAAAACUGCAAACAUUUCUCUCUACCCUAUGGCAAAAUGUGUAGAAUUUCACAUAUUUUGUGGUAAAACAGCUAAUUUCCCUCUCCGACCCCAUGGCCAAAUUAGUAGAAUUGCAUGAAUUUAGUUGUAGAAAUUUCUACAUCUUCUCACCGCCCCAUGGCAAAAUGUGUAGAAUUGCAUGAAAUUUGUCAUACAAAUGCUAAAUCUUCUUUCCGUCCCAUAGCAAAAUGUGUAGAAUUGCAUUGCCGCCAGUUGCCCAUCCCUGCUUUAAAGCAUUCCCUGCUGAACAGGAAAUGAUAAAAGGCAAUUCCAUUUUUUGGGCAGAUGACAAAGCCGCCCAUGACUUUAUGUGAACACUUAACAAACAACAUGGCAGUUAACUUGCUACGAUUAGGUAACGACGCAUCUCGGGUGUCAGUUUCAGAUUUAUGCCUUACUUCAGCUUUUUACAGUGAUUUGAUAUUCCAGGAGUUAUUUGUCACGUCUCUUGAAGCCCCAAAAUAAAUUGCUAGGUCUCAUGGAGAGGGGGCCAUGUGCUAGUCUCAGUGUGGUUGUGACCUGUCAAGUCAAUGUGUACUCUGCUGCUGGUGUCUCAGGCGGGCUGUGGACUGUGAAUACCCCCAGCAGUUCAAGCCACCAUUACCAAAGGAGCAGUCUGUGAGAUGCCAGCCCUCUGGACUGUGUCGCUUCCCUAGAGAAAACAAGUCUCUCUCUCUCUAUGCUCGGAAAAGUGCAAAACCUCUGAACACUACAAACCUAUUCGAGAACGUCAGCUCCCUUUGUGCCUGAAAAGGCACUCUGAUCAAAGCACAUCUUUUUA